rnacentral:rRNA from 1 species
CCUACGGGAGGCAGCAGUAAGGAAUAUUGGUCAAUGGGCGCAAGCCUGAACCAGCCAUGCCGCGUGCAGGAAGACGGCCCUAUGGGUUGUAAACUGCUUUUGAACAAGAGAAAACCUCGGUACGUGUACCGAGCUGAUAGUAUUGUUAGAAUAAGCAUCGGCUAACUUCGUGCCAGCAGCCGCGGUAAGACGAAGGAUGCAAGCGUUAUCCGGAUUCAUUGGGUUUAAAGGGUGCGUAGGCGGACCGAUAAGUCAGUGGUGAAAUCUCUCAGCUUAACUGAGAAACUGCCAUUGAUACUGUCAGUCUAGAGUACAGAUGAUGUGGGCGGAAUAUGACAUGUAGUGGUGAAAUACUUAGAUAUGUCAUAGAACACCGAUUGCGAAGGCAGCUCACAAAACUGUAACUGACGCUGAGGCACGAAAGUGCGGGGAUCAAACAGGAUUAGAUACCCUGGUAGUCCGCACCGUAAACGAUGAUUACUCGUUGUUGGCAAUAUGACCGUCAGCGACCAAGCGAAAGCGANAAGUAAUCCACCUGGGGAGUACGCCGGCGAACGGUGAAACGUUAAAGGAAUUGACGGCGUUGGAGACGNGCGAGGACGACACGAGGGGAGGAGG